AUUGAACGCUGGCGGCAUGCUUUACACAUGCAAGUCGAGCGGCAGCGCGGGGGCAACCCUGGCGGCGAGCGGCGAACGGGUGAGUAAUGCAUCGGAACGUACCCUGGAGUGGGGGAUAACGCCGCGAAAGCGGCGCUAAUACCGCAUAUGCUCUGAGGAGGAAAGUGGGGGACCGCAAGGCCUCACGCUCUGGGAGCGGCCGAUGUCCGAUUAGCUAGUUGGUGGGGUAAAGGCUUACCAAGGCGACGAUCGGUAGCUGGUCUGAGAGGAUGAUCAGCCACACUGGGACUGAGACACGGCCCAGACUCCUACGGGAGGCAGCAGUGGGGAAUUUUGGACAAUGGGGGGCAACCCUGAUCCAGCCAUGCCGCGUGAGUGAAGAAGGCCUCGGUUGUAAG
rnacentral:rRNA from 1 species